ACGCUCCACCCGUUGUGGUGCUCCCCCGCCAAUUCCUUUAAGUUUCAGCCUUGCGGCCGUACUUCCCAGGUGGCUCGCUUCACGGCUUCCCUACGGCACCGACAACGGUCGCACCGUGGCCGACACCUAGCGAGUAUCGUUUACGGCUAGGACUACCCGGGUAUCUAAUCCGGUUCGUGCCCCUAGCUUUCGUCCCUUGCCGUCAGGUCCGUUCUGGUGAGACGCCUUCGCCACUGGUGGUCCUUCAAGGAUUACAAGAUUUCACCCCUACCCCUGAAGUACCUCUCACCUCUCCCGGCCUCGAGCCGAACAGUAUCUCCUGAAAGCCCAACAGUUGAGCUGCUGGAUUUCUCAAGAGACUUAUCCGGCCGGCUACAGACCCUUUAGACCCAAUAAUAACGGUUACCACUCGAGCCGCCGGUGUUACCGCGGCGGCUGGCACCGGUCUUGCCCGGCCCUUGCUAUGCAAUGCUUUUUAGGCAUCACGACAGCCAGAUUUGUAACCUGGCACUCGAGGUCCCCUUAUCGCCGUUGCCGGCAUUGUAAAGUUUUCGCGCCUGCUGCACCCCGUAGGGCCUGGAUUCGUGUCUCAGAAUCCAUCUCCGGGCUCUUGCUCUCACAACCCGUACCCGUCGUAGGCUAGUAGGUACGCUACACCCACUACUACCUGAUAGGCCGCAGACCCAUCCUCUGGCGCCGGAGCUUUCGAUCUCGGGGCACUCCAGCGACCGAGAUCUAUCGGGGAUUAUACCCAGUUUCCCGGGUUUAUACCCGUCCGGAGGGUAGGUUGUCCACGUGUUACUGAGCAGUACGCCAUGUAUUGCUACAUUCGACUCGCAUGGCUUAGUCGAACCUCGAUAGCAGUAACCUCCGGCGGG
rnacentral:rRNA from 1 species